AAGCUAGUUGGUGGGGUAAAGGCUCACCAAGGCGACGAUCUGUAGCGGGUCUUAGAGGAUGAUCCGCCACACUGGAACUGAGACACGGUCCAGACUCCUACGGGAGGCAGCAGUGGGGAAUUUUGGACAAUGGGCGCAAGCCUGAUCCAGCCAUGCCGCGUGAGUGAAGAAGGCCUUCGGGUUGUAAAGCUCUUUCGGCCGGGAAAAAAUCGCUUGGGUUAAUACCCUGAGUGGAUGAUGGUACCGGAAUAAGAAGCACCGGCUAACUACGUGCCAGCAGCCGCGGUAAUACGUAGGGUGCGAGCGUUAAUCGGAAUUACUGGGCGUAAAGCGUGCGCAGGCGGUUUUGUAAGACAGGCGUGAAAUCCCCGGGCUCAACCUGGGAACUGCGUUUGUGACUGCAAGGCUAGAGUAUGGCAGAGGGGGGUGGAAUUCCACGUGUAGCAGUGAAAUGCGUAGAGAUGUGGAGGAACACCAAUGGCGAAGGCAGCCCCCUGGGCCAAUACUGACGCUCAUGCACGAAAGCGUGGGGAGCAAACAGGAUUAGAUACCCUGGUAGUCCACGCCCUAAACGAUGUCAACUAGGUGUUGGGUGGGUAAAACCAUUUGGUACCGUAGCUAACGCGUGAAGUUGACCGCCUGGGGAGUACGGCCGCAAGGUUAAAACUCAAAGAAAUUGACGGGGACCCGCACAAGCGGUGGAUGAUGUGGAUUAAUUCGAUGCAACGCGAAAAACCUUACCUACCCUUGACAUGCCAGGAACUUGCCAGAGAUGGCUUGGUGCCCGAAAGGGAGCCUGGACACAGGUGCUGCAUGGCUGUCGUCAGCUCGUGUCGUGAGAUGUUGGGUUAAGUCCCGCAACGAGCGCAACCCUUGUCGUUAAUUGCCAUCAUUUAGUUGGGCACUUUAACGAGACUGCCGGUGACAAACCGGAGGAAGGUGGGGAUGACGUCAAGUCCUCAUGGCCCUUAUGGGUAGGGCUUCACACGUCAUACAAUGGUCGGUACAAAGGGUUGCCAAGCCGCGAGGCGGAGCCAAUCCCAGAAAGCCGAUCGUAGUCCGGAUCGCAGGCUGCAACUCGCCUGCGUGAAGUCGGAAUCGCUAGUAAUCGUGGAUCAGCAUGUCACGGUGAAUACGUUCCCGGGUCAUGUACACACCGCCCGUCACACCAUGGGAGCGGGUUCCGCCAGAAGUAGGUAGCCUAACCGCAAGGAGGGCGCUUACCACGGCGGGGUUCGUGACUGGGGUGAAGUCGUAACAAGGUAGCCGUAUCGGAAGGUGCGGCUG
rnacentral:rRNA from 1 species